UACAGAGGUCUCAAGCGUUGUUCGGAUUCAUUGGGCGUAAAGGGUGCGUAGGCGGCGCGGAAAGUUGGGUGUGAAAUCCCUCGGCUUAACCGAGGAACUGCGCCCAAAACUACCGUGCUCGAGGGAGAUAGAGGUGAGCGGAACUUAGGGUGGAGCGGUGAAAUGCGUUGAUAUCCUAAGGAACACCGGUGGCGAAAGCGGCUCACUGGAUCUCUUCUGACGCUGAGGCACGAAAGCUAGGGUAGCGAACGGG
rnacentral:rRNA from 1 species